rnacentral:rRNA from 1 species
CCUACGGGUGGCUGCAGUGGGGAAUAUUGGACAAUGGGCGAAAGCCUGAUCCAGCCAUGCCGCGUGUGUGAAGAAGGCCUUCGGGUUGUAAAGCACUUUCAGUGGGGAAGAAAGCCUUGGGGCUAAUACCCUCGAGGAAGGACAUCACCCACAGAAGAAGCACCGGCUAACUCCGUGCCAGCAGCCGCGGUAAUACGGAGGGUGCGAGCGUUAAUCGGAAUUACUGGGCGUAAAGCGCGCGUAGGCGGUCUGAUAAGCCGGUUGUGAAAGCCCCGGGCUCAACCUGGGAACGGCAUCCGGAACUGUCAGGCUAGAGUGCAGGAGAGGAAGGUAGAAUUCCCGGUGUAGCGGUGAAAUGCGUAGAGAUCGGGAGGAAUACCAGUGGCGAAGGCGGCCUUCUGGACUGAUACUGACGCUGAGGUGCGAAAGCGUGGGUAGCAAACAGGAUUAGAUACCCCGGUAGUC